UAGUACCUUCGGGGCAGGGUGCGGGACAAAAUCCCAAUUCCCGAUCGGUGGUGAUAACCCACGAGCGCGCUCUUGCGCACGAUCUGGUGAAAUUCCAGGGUCGACGGUAUAGUCCGGAUAUAAGAAGGAUCGA
rnacentral:ncRNA from 1 species